UGAAGAUUUCAUCUGCUGUCAUUCACAAGCCAACUCCAUCUGUCUUGCUCCAUUAACAGGAGAUCAGGCCAUCCUGCAAGGGCUGAGGGGGAAAUUCUGAACAGUUCAAGAGGGUGAAGGUCUGUCUCUGGGAUUGCUGCCGAAAGGGAGGUGCAGCCCCUCUCACUGUCCCUGUGCUGUAGGUCCUGCGGUGGGGAGAAGCACCAGGUUUCCCAGAGCCUGCCUGAAAAGACGUUCUGGAAGAGCUGAGGGUAUAUUUGUGCCCAGAAAAUGAUCCAGGGAUGGGAUGGAGGCUGAGAGGAACCAAAGAGGCAAAGGGAACGCUGCCCUGCCAGAGCUGCCAGCCGUUUCAGGGGCGCAGCCUCGUGAGGAGGUGGUCAGGAGUCUGCGAGCGUGGGUUUCAGUCCUGACUUCACCUCUCCCAGCAACUGACAAGCCUUCAUUCUGC